rnacentral:lncRNA from 1 species
AUGUUGACGCAACUUCUGCUCACCUUCAUCUUCGUUAUGCUGGCCAAUUGUUUUGAUGAGUGGAUACCGAGUUCCCCCGAACUCUGUCUGCUGGGUGAGGAUGUCAAUAGGACCUUGUGUCACCUGUACUUGGCCCUCCGCUCCAUUCGCAGAGCCAUCCUGCAUCUUGUUAAGGGUCUCCGCCUCCUGAGGAACGUCAGAAACAACAGUUCCGCCGCGGAGUCCCUGAAAAGACAAGGCCUGCUGCAUCUCACCACGGUUCCGCUCGAGUUCUGCGGGAGCGGCCCUCACCUGCUCAACAGCGCCGCCGGCCUGUGCGCCUUUGCGGUACACGUCCUGCAGUCCCCCUUUCGCCACUGCCAGGAGACCCUGGUGGCCCAGCUGGAUCCAGAGGACAGGGAGACCUGGGAGAGCGAGCAGAAGCUGCAGAGCGAAGGGACAAAGAUGCUGAGCACAUGGGCGGACCUGUAACUUAUAAAAUUCAUGAUCUGCAGUGUGGUUUACUGAAGCUGCAGAACAACAGAGGCUCGUCGAUAGAAGAAGAUUAACAAGAUACACAACAUUCCCAACAUUCCAUUUUAUACUCUUUGUCACUCAUUUUAUACUCUUUGUCAUUUCGUUUUAUUAAAUAUGCAACCAAAAAGCUGUAUAUUGAGUGUUUCAGCUUAGACAAUAAUAUGAAGUACAAUAACAUUAUUGUCAUGAAUAUUAUUAUAACUGAUGUCGUCGUUGUCAUGGAUACCUGAGCUGAUCCAUAAGCCCCAUUCCUGACCGGCUGAUGUUCAGAGAGCUAGAUGGCACAAGGUGAGCCCAGAAAAGGGCGUGGCUGAGAGGAGGAUUUGUGGGUUUAGAGGCAGGGCGUGCCUUUCUUCUGAUGAUGCUGGUAUUUUGGCUGGAUUAGAGAAACUUGUCAUGCUCCUGCUCACUCGGAGUUCCGAUAAAUCCAUUAGACAGAGAUUUAAGAAGAAGGUGGUAAGAAGAUCUCAAACUAAAUGGCUUUUAGUCAUUCAUUUUUAUUUCUUUUUCUUGGCCAAUUUUAAUUUAAUUUCUGUGAAGCACAUUGAACGACCUUUUUGUAUGAUUAUGUGCUUUAUAAAUAAACAUGCCGUGUGUCACA